rnacentral:tRNA from 1 species
GGAAAGGUGCUCGAGUGGUUGAAGAGGCACGCCUGGAAAGCGUGUAUGCCCCUAAAGGGUAUCGAGAGUUCGAAUCUCUUCCUUUCCG